rnacentral:rRNA from 1 species
UACGUAGGGGGCUAGCGUUGUCCGGAAUCAUUGGGCGUAAAGCGCGUGUAGGCGGUCCGGUAAGUCCGCUGUGAAAGUCGAGGGCUCAACCCUCGAAUGCCGGUGGAUACGGUCGGGCUUGAGUACGGGAGAGGCGAGUGGAAUUCCUGGUGUAGCGGUGAAAUGCGCAGAUAUCAGGAGGAACACCGAUAGCGAAGGCAGCUCGCUGGGACGGUACUGACGCUGAGGCGCGAAAGCGUGGGGAGCGAACAGG